rnacentral:rRNA from 1 species
AAAGGUAGCAUAAUCACUUGCCUUCUAAUUGAAGGAUAGAAUGAAAGGAUUCACGACUUGUCUACUUUACCUUAAAUGCCUAGCUAAAUUUACCUAAAGGUUAAAAGGCCUUUAUUCUUUAAAAGGACAAAAAGACCCUAUCGAACUUCAUUAUAUAAAUUAAGUUGGGGCGACUUAAAAACAAAACUUCCCUAAUUAAUCAAAACCAGACCCAAUAUUUAAUGAUAACAGGGAACAAGUUACCGUAGGGAUAACAGCGUUACAGAAUUCUAAAGCUCUCAUACAAAAUUCUUCCUGCGACCUCGAUGUUGAAUUAACAUAACUUCCUUAAGUAAAAAUAAAUUAAAGUAAGUCUGUUCGACUUUUAAAAUGUUACAUGAUUUGAGUUCAGACCGGUGCAAGCCAGGUCAGUUUCUAUCCUUUAUAAUAAUAAGCCAGUACGAAAGGACCUCCAUUAUGAUAUUA